rnacentral:lncRNA from 1 species
GUAAGUCUCACUGGCUCAGGGAAAAUGUGAUGCAGAGUAGGUGGCAUUGCCAGCUGAUGAGUGUGACAGUUACUAAGUUACUGUCUCUAGCUCCAAACCCACACUUAGACUUUCAGCUUUGGGGUGCUGGAGCCGACUCAUACGGCUCACAUGUGCCUUGUCAGCUGGCUUCUGGCUGGGAUGUGCAGAUAGGGGGCGCCAGAGGGAGACUUCGAGGCGUUGCUUUCUGUGGGCAUCCCAUCUGCUUGCUGUUCUUGUGGGCAGUGCGUCUUCACCCUGCCAUCCGGUUGGCAGUUUUCCCUACACUUGGAGAAUCAGCCUCAUUGUGCCCUCCCACUCAGAGAUGCCAGCACCAGCCAGCCUGGUACUGGUACUGUACUACCCCUUUCUCAGAGCUCUGGGCCCCAGGCCCACAGGGCCCUGCUUUUAGCACCUGCCGAGCAGUGCUUCCUCCUUAACAGUUUGAGUUUCAGGGGCUCCUCCUCUAAGUUUCCAAGUUUUCAUAACCUCUAACUUCUUCCCUCUGUCACCUCACCCCUAGCUAUGGUAGCUACUUCUGCUAGUUCUGUGAUAUUUUAGAGUUAGUUACUCUUUCACUUACCCAGUCAACAACUCUAAACCUAGUUAAUAAUUCUAUUUAUGUAUUUAUUUUUUGAGACAGGGUUUCAUUCUGUCACCAAGGCUGGAGUGCAGUGGCGUGAUCUUGGUUCACUGCAACCUCUCCCUCCCGGACUCAAGCCAUCCCCCUGCCUCUGUCUCCUGAGUAGCUGGAAUUAUAGAUGUACACCACCACACCUGACUAGUUUUUUAAUUUUUUGUGAAGACGGAGUUUUGCAGUGUUGCCUGGGCUGGUCUCAACUCCUGGGCUCAAGAAAUCCACCUGCCUCUGCCUCCCAAAGUGCUGGGAUUACAGAUGUGAGCCACCGUGCCAGCCUUAGUUAAUAAUUCUUUACUCUGUUCAAAGAACUGGUGUGGGUAUUGUCUCCUUAUUGAACCUGACUGAUAAUGGACAGGCCUUGAGCCCCCAAGUUGCUGAGGCCCUUAUGAAUGCUGGAAGCCAAGCUUGCACAUUCUAGGCAGCCAUUUGGAAGAUUCUUCUCUGCGCAUGACCAGCUGAAAAGGAAAAACCCCGAAACAUUGGCACUGUGAUUUCUCCAUGUGAACAGUUUAGUUCGCCGAGGUGGACAUGCCUCAUUCAUGCUUAUGGAGUGACCGACCAGCCUUUAGUGACACCCCCUGAAAUGUGAGUCAUCCAUGGGUCACUAGUCAUUGGAGAAGAGCCCCUUAUACAAAACUUGGAGCUCAGACCACAAACAACAACAACAAUCCAAAAAAUAAAAAAAUGAAAAAUUAGGAGCAGAGACUAAAUGGAAAGAUGGAAAUAUUAAAAUAAAAAUAUUAUUUUAAAAAUUAAUAUGUAUUAAAAUUUU